ACCUUUAGUCCUGUGGUUAAGACAGCGUCCUUUCAAGGCGAAGACACAGGUUCGAGUCCUGUAAGGUUCCA
rnacentral:tRNA from 1 species